rnacentral:rRNA from 1 species
GACGAACGCUGGCGGCGUGCUUAACACAUGCAAGUCGAACGCUGAAGGCCUGGCUUUUGUUGGGUUGGAUGAGUGGCGAACGGGUGAGUAACACGUGAGUAACCUGCCCUCUUCUUUGGGAUAACGCCCGGAAACGGGUGCUAAUACUGGAUAUUCACUGAUCUUCGCAUGGGGGUUGGUGGAAAGGUUUGUUCUGGUGGGGGAUGGGCUCGCGGCCUAUCAGCUUGUUGGUGGGGUGAUGGCCUACCAAGGCUUUGACGGGUAGCCGGCCUGAGAGGGUGACCGGUCACAUUGGGACUGAGAUACGGCCCAGACUCCUACGGGAGGCAGCAGUGGGGAAUAUUGCACAAUGGGCGAAAGCCUGAUGCAGCGACGCCGCGUGAGGGAUGGAGGCCUUCGGGUUGUAAACCUCUUUCGCUCAUGGUCAAGCCGCAACUGUGGGUUGUGGUGAGGGUAGUGGGUAAAGAAGCGCCGGCUAACUACGU